UUUGACCUCAAAUCAGGUAGGAAUACCCGCUGAACUUAAGCAUAUCAAU
rnacentral:rRNA from 2 species